GGAUUUUCCAGCCGCCAAACGAGGUAAAAUUUCUCUCAUUGGCUCGUUUUUUGAUGCUAAACCUCUCUGUGGCCAAAUCAGAGCCAAACCACCGGUCGAUUGGCCGAAAAAUACCGCCGAAGUCCAGCAGCGCCGCCGCGGGUUUCCUCAGUUUUUGCCUCCGAUGAGGCCCUUCUCGGUUCCUGUUCGAUGAAAUUUUUAUACCACUAUGACCACCGUCAUUU
rnacentral:lncRNA from 1 species